rnacentral:lncRNA from 1 species
UUGCAUCUAUUACCUUUGUAUGCAUUGAUGUCUAGAUAUCGUGUACACUCCGAUCUCGCAUCAAAAUAUGUGAAAAAAAAUUAUAUAUAUGUAAGAAAUUAAAUUAUUAACAAUAAUACAUUUGCUAUGAAUUUUUAGGUCAUAAUGCAUGUAGUAAUAUUGAGCCAGUAGUUUAACCUUUGCAUAUAUAUAUGAUUUGAUUUACUCAAAAUUGGGGUUGUUAUAUAUUGGCAUAACCUUACAUGUGUUAAAUUACAUAUUUACAUAUUCUCUUUAUUUCAAAAU